AUUGAACGCUGGCGGCAUGCCUUACACAUGCAAGUCGAACGGUAACAGGUCUUCGGAUGCUGACGAGUGGCGAACGGGUGAGUAAUACAUCGGAACGUGCCCGAUCGUGGGGGAUAACGAAGCGAAAGCUUUGCUAAUACCGCAUAAGAUCUACGGAUGAAAGCAGGGGACCGCAAGGCCUUGCGCGAACGGAGCGGCCGAUGGCAGAUUAGGUAGUUGGUGGGAUAAAAGCUUACCAAGCCGACGAUCUGUAGCUGGUCUGAGAGGACGACCAGCCACACUGGGACUGAGACACGGCCCAGACUCCUACGGGAGGCAGCAGUGGGGAAUUUUGGACAAUGGGCGAAAGCCUGAUCCAGCCAUGCCGCGUGCAGGAUGAAGGCCUUCGGGUUGUAAACUGCUUUUGUACGGAACGAAAAGACUCUUUCUAAUAAAGAGGGUCCAUGACGGUACCGUAAGAAUAAGCACCGGCUAACUACGUGCCAGCCGCCGCAGUAAAAC
rnacentral:rRNA from 1 species